rnacentral:lncRNA from 1 species
UUUUUCUGGGUAAAUCUUUAUCCUUGAAGUUCAAUAAUUUUUACAACAUAUGCCUAAGUCUAUGCUUUUGUCCCUAACUCCUGCCUAGAAUGUAGCGGGCUCUUUUACUCUGCAAACUCAAGUUUUUUUUUUUUUUUUUUCCAAACUAGAAAUUGUCAGUUAUUCUUAAAAUGAUUUCCUCUCCUCCCAGAAUGUCAUCUUUUUUAUUCAUGCAUCUGUCCUCUAAGGCGCUCAUCUACUCCCUAUUUCCAUUUCCUUGUCUCUGCUCUGAAUUUUGAGGAUUUCUGCCACUUGAUCUUCCAGCCCACGCAGGUAGUUCUCAAUAUUAUCAUACCAUCUUUAAAUUUUGCAUCACACUUUCAAAUUCAAAACUAAAAUCAUUAAAAAAAAAAAAAAAAAACAACUAAAGUUAUUGAAGUGCUCCCAAAACGUGGGUCUUGUUAUUUUGGUCUCUGAAGUGUGAUGCUUCCUGUGGCGACUCACUCUAACCAGAGGCCUUUUGCUGGGCCCCGUUCCAGGUACAGAAAAUACCGCAAGAACACGAGAGUGAACCCCUGCUCUCUCGGAGCUCACACGUGUUGUGGGAGGUUUUCUCUUCUUUCUUCCCCCCCUUGCUGGAUUUCCCAGGCACUUUGUCUCCCUGUGGCUCUGCGCACCUUGAGGGGGGGGGCACUCUACUAGGGCAGCAAACCUAUGGCUGGGUGGGAGGCCUGCACACUCGGAAGGGCCAGCACAGUAACUGAGGCUAGGCUCCAUCAGAAGUCUCCGUUCCUCCCAAGCAAGGGAAAUCCAGUUGACCCUCUGGUGUACACACACACACACACACACAGACACACACACGUGUGUGCCACUCCUCCCUCCCCACUAUUGUUCCCUCUUCGUACCUACCUUGACGGAGACAGCACCUGGCACCUGCCCUCUUCAGAGAUCCUGGUGAGGCCUGUGGUCACACUUCCAGGUUUUACCCCAAUGAACCCAGGAACCAUUUUGUUCAGAAGAGAUGGGUGAACAGGAGUUGAGAGGAAAUAACAUUAGAGACGCCUUCCAGGUGCCACUUUCACCCUCCGUGCCUUUUCCCAGACACCUUACCCAGCUCCAGGGGCCACGUUAGGGAGCCCUUCCUAGGGAUGACUCCCAUCGGCAGGAUUACGGUUGGAUUGGGACUGAAACUCCGGGUCUGGGUUAACCAGUGUGCAGUGACCGGUUGGCCAUUCUAGGUCUAUACCCCUGUGGCUCCGCAGUGAGGGGAGGAAGACCAGGGUUCUUAGGUGCCUCCAGCACUACAAACCAACUGGCUUAUGUUUUACUAACUGCCUGGAUACUAGACGAGGCCAGGGAUGGCGUUCCCCACCCGGUGGUCUUAUCCACGUUCUGGGCGCCCUGUGAGGACUGUUCCCACCUCCCUCACUAGGACAAGUUGUAAUGCUCAGAGCCUGGGCUCUGUAAACACGCCCCGACUGAGAAGGGGCUACACUAUCUACCUAACGCCUCCAGAAUGCUUCCAUGCCGAACAGUAUGCUUGUAGCUCCUGACAGCGCCAAGUUGUCUGAACCAGUUUGUGUUCCAAAGCUCUGGGAGUCCAGACCACCUGGGUUUUUGCUUAGAUAAAAGGCCUGGAAAAGCAUUGGGCUUAUUCUCAAACAUCAAAAUCAGAGGAAGCACUUGCUAGAAAUGUAGAUUUCUAGGCUUCACCCCGAAUCUGAGGCAGAACCUCUGGUGGGGCCCAGAAAGCUGCAUUUUAAAUGCAUGGUUGGGGCCUCGGAUUCCCUUCCGUCAUCUAGUGGGCCCUGGAGGAGUUUCAGUAGCAGAGCAGGCCGGGCCGACAAACUGAUGUGGCGGGAGCUUAGGCUUGCGAAGGGCGGCUACAGACUGCAGCACGGGAGGGAGGCCCCAAGAUGGCUCAUUCCAUCCCAUCAGCUCCGUAGUUCUGAGCGCUUCUCAAUGUGCUGGUGGAGGAAGAACCGAGCCUUCAACCGCGAUUGCCCCACUGGCACACAGCACUACUCAAGCCCUUUGAGCAUGCAGAGUGGGGGCCGUUUCAAAAUGGUCACCUGAGCUCACACUCUUCAUUCCCCUCCCUCCAAGAUGCUUCCUGAAAAGACAAAAGAACUACAGAGAAUUGGGGUAAAUCUCUAUCAGUACUGGAGAAGAGGAAUCGUCUAGAAACUCAGACGAACCUGUGGGAAACAGUGUAUUUGGGGCCAGGAGAGAGGGGACACUCACAGGGCACAUGCAGGAAGGGGGAUGUCCCUGGCCCCAGCUCAGCAGAAACCCAGAACUGCUGAGAACAGUGUCCGCUCUCUUGCUGGGCUUUCUCUUUAUUUCUAGUGAAGGCCGACUUCCCGGUCCAUGACAGGUGCGGUAAUUAGGCAGGAUCCUGAGCAAACCAUCAAAUGGAACCUUAGAUGUGUUGACACUACGGUCUUUUUUAAGUAAAUGAAAGAGCAGGUUGUCCACUUUUAAUCCACGUGAGGCAAUCCACCUGUGACUGGCAGCACAGGUCCACAGCUGCUGCCUCAGUGACAGAAUGAGCCAGGGCGCCUCACCCUUGGGUGAAAUGGAAGCCAGAUGCUGGCUUCAGGGUUACAGCUCCCAUAGUCUGCCCCCCAUCCUCCCUCUGGAUAUGUGGACAAU